rnacentral:snoRNA from 1 species
AGCCUGAAUGGAGUGAGUUCAAAAGGAGGAAAAGUAACACUGAAGCUGACCUCUCAGUAUUUUGUAGCCUGUUGAUUAGUUUCAAACAGGU